UACGUAGGGUGCAAGCGUUGUCCGGAAUUAUUGGGCGUAAAGAGCUUGUAGGCGGUUUGUCGCGUCUGCUGUGAAAUUUCGGGGCUCAACCCCGAACUUGCAGUGGGUACGGGCAGACUAGAGUGUGGUAGGGGAGACUGGAAUUCCUGGUGUAGCGGUGAAAUGCGCAGAUAUCAGGAGGAACACCAAUGGCGAAGGCAGCUCGCUGGGACGGUACUGACGCUAAGGCGCGAAAGCGUGGGGAGCAAACAGG
rnacentral:rRNA from 1 species